rnacentral:snoRNA from 2 species
AAGACUAUACUUUCAGGGAUCAUUUCUAUAGUUUGUUACUAGAGAAGUUUCUCUGAACGUGUAGAGCACCGAGGCAUGGGCAAGGACUUCAUGUCCA